rnacentral:miRNA from 1 species
UCACUUGAAACCCAGGACCU